CGCUCCGGUGGCCUACUGGUUAGAACGUCCGCCUCGAAUGCGGGAGGUCGUGGGUUCGAUCACCCGGUCGAGUUA